rnacentral:rRNA from 1 species
AUUGAACGCUGGCGGCAGGCCUAACACAUGCAAGUCGAACGGUAGCACAGAGAGCUUGCUCUCGGGUGACGAGUGGCGGACGGGUGAGUAACGUCUGGGAAACUGCCCGAUGGAGGGGGAUAACUACUGGAAACGGUAGCUAAUACCGCAUAACGUCGCAAGACAAAAGUGGGGGACCUUCGGGCCUCAAACCAUCGGCUGUGCCCAGAUGGGAUUAGCUAGUAGGUGGGGUAAUGGCUCACCUAGGAGACGAUCCCUAGCUGGUCUGAGAGGAUGACCAGCCACACUGGAACUGAGAGACGGUCCAGACUCCUACGGGGGGCAGCAGUGGGGAAUAUUGCACAAUGGGCGCAAGCCUGAUGCAGCCAUGCCGCGUGUAUGAAGAAGGCCUUCGGGUUGUAAAGUACUUUCAGCGGGGAGGAAGGCGGUGAAGUUAAUAACUUCACCGAUUGACGUUACCCGCAGAAGAAGCACCGGCUAACUCCGUGCCAGCAGCCGCCGUAAGAC